CGCUAGCUACAGGCUUAACACAUGCAAGUCGAGGGGCAGCAUUUUAGUUUGCUUGCAAACUGAAGAUGGCGACCGGCGCACGGGUGAGUAACACGUAUCCAACCUGCCGAUAACUCCGGAAUAGCCUUUCGAAAGAAAGAUUAAUACCGGAUAGCAUACGAAUAUCGCAUGAUAUUUUUAUUAAAGAAUUUCGGUUAUCGAUGGGGAUGCGUUCCAUUAGUUUGUUGGCGGGGUAACGGCCCACCAAGACAACGAUGGAUAGGGGUUCUGAGAGGAAGGUCCCCCACAUUGGAACUGAGACACGGUCCAAACUCCUACGGGAGGCAGCAGUGAGGAAUAUUGGUCAAUGGGCGAGAGCCUGAACCAGCCAAGUAGCGUGAAGGAUGAAGGCUCUAUGGGUCGUAAACUUCUUUUAUAUGGGAAUAAAGUUUUCCACGUGUGGAAUUUUGUAUGUACCAUAUGAAUAAGGAUCGGCUAACUCCGUGCCAGCAGCCGCGGUAAUACGGAGGAUCCGAGCGUUAUCCGGAUUUAUUGGGUUUAAAGGGAGCGUAGGUGGAUUGUUAAGUCAGUUGUGAAAGUUUGCGGCUCAACCGUAAAAUUGCAGUUGAAACUGGCAGUCUUGAGUACAGUAGAGGUGGGCGGAAUUCGUGGUGUAGCGGUGAAAUGCUUAGAUAUCACGAAGAACUCCGAUUGCGAAGGCAGCUCACUAGACUGUCACUGACACUGAUGCUCGAAAGUGUGGGUAUCAAACAGGAUUAGAUACCCUGGUAGUCCACACAGUAAACGAUGAAUACUCGCUGUUUGCGAUAUACAGUAAGCGGCCAAGCGAAAGCAUUAAGUAUUCCACCUGGGGAGUACGCCGGCAACGGUGAAACUCAAAGGAAUUGACGGGGGCCCGCACAAGCGGAGGAACAUGUGGUUUAAUUCGAUGAUACGCGAGGAACCUUACCCGGGCUUAAAUUGCAACAGAAUAUAUUGGAAACAGUAUAGCCGUAAGGCUGUUGUGAAGGUGCUGCAUGGUUGUCGUCAGCUCGUGCCGUGAGGUGUCGGCUUAAGUGCCAUAACGAGCGCAACCCUUAUCUUUAGUUACUAACAGGUGAUGCUGAGGACUCUAGAGAGACUGCCGUCGUAAGAUGUGAGGAAGGUGGGGAUGACGUCAAAUCAGCACGGCCCUUACGUCCGGGGCUACACACGUGUUACAAUGGGGGGUACAGAAGGCGGCUACCUGGUGACAGGAUGCUAAUCCCAAAAACCUCUCUCAGUUCGGAUCGAAGUCUGCAACCCGACUUCGUGAAGCUGGAUUCGCUAGUAAUCGCGCAUCAGCCAUGGCGCGGUGAAUACGUUCCCGGGCCUUGUACACACCGCCCGUCAAGCCAUGAAAGCCGGGGGUACCUGAAGUACGUAACCGCAAGGAGCGUCCUAGGGUAAAACUGGUAAUUGGGGCU
rnacentral:rRNA from 1 species